AUGGAGAAUAAUUGGACAAAACUAAAAAUGUUCUGUUACUCUAAAAAAGAACUACAUUUCCUGGGACUUCCUGUCAUUACAUACUUCCUGUAGUCAGGGAAUAAAUUCAGUGGGUGUUUCUGCUCUACAUCUUUGGCCUCCUGGCAAGCAUAGUGGUGGGCAAGUUACUUCUCUGGGCCAUGACUAUCUCCUCUGAAAAAUGAAAGGUUAAGGAGUGGAUUUCUAAGGGCAUCUCUACACUGUGAAAGAGCUUAAUGGAAAAAGCGCAAAUCAAUAGCAAAGCAAAGACAUCUUUUUAUGGCCACCUUGUUAAGUAUGACACUACUAGACAAGAGUUAAAACAUGCAAAAAUAAAGAUAGAUCUCAAAAUACAAA